AGCUAACUGGGUUCUAUGGGUGGGUUUUGGGAUGUCUGACGUGGCACAUCAUAGACGCCUUGAAAUCAGGUGUUGUCAUUUGUUCUGCAUGAGUGAUGCAGUUUUGCUUUUGCCAUUAGGGUUCGGUCUUCCAGCCGGGUUGUUGGACCUCCUGCUGUAGGAAAGGUAGACCCCGGUACUGUCAGUUUACUGGAAGUCUGUGUUGAUAUGACCGAAGUAAUACUAUGCUCCUAAUUCCUUGGUAGAUGGGGUCCCUCAGAGUCUGGGGUGGAACCAUCCAGUUAGAAUUAAAGUCCAGGAGAUGUUCCUGUGGCUAGUUACCUUGGGAUGGGUGGGAAAACGUUUUUAUUAUUCUCUUUGAGAGUGUAAGGAGGAUAAGGUAAAGUUAGGGCAUUGCUGGAGCAGCAUUUGCCUGUGACUGGUAUCUCUGAUGGGGGCAGGAUGUAUUGUAACCCUCAUGUCAUUUUCAGGUGGGGUCCCUCAGUACCUGGGGUGGAACCAUCUGGUUACGCUUAUAGUCCAGGAGAUGUUCCUGUGGCUAGUUAUCUUUGGAUAGGUGGGAAACGUUUUUAUUCUCUUUCAGAAUGUAAGGAUGAUAAGCUAAAGGUAGGGCAUUGCUGCAGUAGUAUUUGCCUGUGACUUCAAUUUUUAUGCUGGGGUUGGGUACUAAUCGGUCCCAUGUUAUUUGUUGUUAGAUGGGGUCCCUCAGUAUCUGGGGUGAAACCAUCUGAUGAGUUUUAUAGGUAGGAGAGGUACCCCCCCCCCACAUAGGUCAGUCAUUUUCAGAUGGGGUCCCUCAGCAUCUGGGGUGAAACCAUCUGGUUCAAUCCUUAGCACAUGAGAAGCUUGUGUGUUGUCACUAGGAAGGGUACUGCAGGUCGGUACUCUAACCUACACCAUCUCCUACGAUUAGCAGGCACUGGUUCCGUGUCUAGCAUAGUGGGUAGUACAGUUGAUGCCCUGUUCUGUCCUUGGGACUAAAUUCUGAGGUAGGUUUUUAAUUGCAUCACGUCGGGACGACGUCGCAGAAACUUGGGGCGGAAUGUAGUGGGACAAGGUGAUUGACAGCUGUGUUCACCUAUUGGAGAGUAGGGCUCUCUAUUUAAAGGCUGAUUGGCUGAAGCCGUGUAUGUGUCACGUCUGAUUUCCCUCCCCUUGUGUCUGUUGACGGUCGUUACAGUGUGUGUUGGCUCCGAUGCUGGUGCCUGUUAGCACUGUUCCAUGGAUUUUAAAAGUGCUAGUCUCUCCGGUUGACUCCCUGUAUGCCAGGGCACUGGUGGCUGCCAUGACAGCUGUAUGCCAGUGUCCGUAAGGUGUCAUGCCUGGCGUAAGAAGCGGUAAGUGUGCAACCUGCAACUUUAAGUGAGAGUAGUAAUGUGUAGUCAUAAUGUUUACAUCUGUAUUCGCUUUAGGAUUCUCCCUCUCGUUCCGGGCUGUGAUUACCUCUUCGCGCUGUUUUUAGCGCUGCUAUUUAGCUUGCAGUGCGCACGUGUUGACAUCAUUAAAGGGUGCUGCUGGUGUCCGGUCAACCUUUUAAUAUCGCACAAUAUAGUGCUCAAAUCCAUAUGUGUUGGGGACAUGAACGUUUUUGUUAAAUGAUGCUCUGAAUGAGCUCUGUGGUUCCCCUAUCCAACCUCUUUAAUUAUUUUGUUUCUUUUGUUUAUUUUUGUAUUUAUACUUUGUUUGCUGCACGUGACUCCUCAUCGUUGUAACGUGCCCGGGUGUAUGUGUGGCCUAUUGAACCUAGUAACACACUGUGACAGAGGGGAGUGGUAUGUGAAAUUAACCCUCCUAAUGUUUUAUUGUCUCUGUUUGUGUAUUGUAUUAAUGGUCACUAUAGAGGAGUUGUGAGAAGAAGUUAAACCAUCUAUAAAAAGUGUUUAUAAUUUAUGUUCUGUUAAGUGUCUUUAACCUUUAUUUUUGGUUUACCGCAGGAGCUGGGGUCCCACGGGUGACAGGAAUUUCUACGGUGGUGGUGCUUCUCAUCGUGUGCUGUGUAACAUCUUGUGUGUUUCGUAGUGUGAUUUGAGUGCACUUUGGUGUGUGUGGUUGUGUGGAAGUGUGCUCUGCUCAAACUGAAUUCUGUCCUCUGCCGUUGGGAGCCUCAGCCCUGCUGGUAACAUUCUCUUUUAUUUGUUUUGAUUUAACCUCUUUGUUAUAAUUAAAAUUGUGUCUUUUCCCUUUAAGGGGAAAGAAUGAGUACUUGGUGUGUCUUUUUAAUCUUGUGUUUUUAAAUAUUUGUAUUAAUAAAAUUAUGUAACAUUUUGCAUUAUA